rnacentral:rRNA from 1 species
AGUGAACGCUGGCGGUAGGCCUAACACAUGCAAGUCGAACGGCAGCACAGUAAGAGCUUGCUCUUACGGGUGGCGAGUGGCGGACGGGUGAGGAAUACAUCGGAAUCUACUUUUUCGUGGGGGAUAACGUAGGGAAACUUACGCUAAUACCGCAUACGACCUACGGGGGAAGGCAGUGGAUCUUCGGACCUUGCGCGAUUGAAUGAGCCGAUGUCGGAUUAGCUAGUUGGCGGGGUAAAGGCCCACCAAGGCGACGAUCCGUAGCUGGUCUGAGAGGCUGGUAGGCCACACUGGAACUGAGACACGGUCCAGAGUCCUACGGGAGGCAGCAGUGGGGAAUAUUGGACAAUGGGCGCAAGCCUGAUCCAGCGAUACCGCGUGGGUGAAGAAGGCCUUCGGGUUGUAAAGCCGUUUUGUUGGGAAAGAGCAGCAGCAGGUUAAUACGAAGCUGGUCUGACGGUACCCAAAGAAUAAGCACCGGCUAACUUCGUG